rnacentral:tRNA from 1 species
GGUGGGGUUCCCGAGCGAUCAUAAGGGAGCUGACUGCAAAUCUGCCGUCAUCGACUUCAAGGUUCGACUCGAGCAAUAGUGAGAGAACGUUGCCGCAGGCAACGGCCCGUAGGGUGAGGAGCGAAGCGACGAAUAAUCCUUCCCCCACCACCA